CUGCCCCUGAUUGAUGCCCGGGGAAAUGAUGGAGUUUUCCCAAAAAUACUUCUAGCAUGUUUGCAUCAUAGAGUACAGACUGCUGAGUAUUUUGUCUUUUACUCCGAUAGUUACUUGCAGACAAAGAAGGAGGAUUGUGAUAGCCGAAGGCCACAGUGAGAGAGCUGUGAUCCCAGCACUUAGAUCCUGCACUAGGGCUCUGAACCCAAGGCUUUCUCCAAGACCUCAUGACUACAGCAUACAAAGAGGUUGAUGGAGUAAAUUUAUUGCCAGGAAACUAGCAUUUUACUUUGAAAGGUGUUAGAUGCUAAUAAGAUAUUACAUGAGCAAGUUCUUGGUAAAAAUUUCACUUGCAGCUCCAGCAAUGAAUUUUAUAGUCCCUUUGUUGAGGUCAGAUGCAUGUGAAUCUUGGUAGAGAACAAUCUUUUUGUUGACUUGUGUCUUAGGCUGUUCACACUGCUGUAACAAAAAUACCACAAAAUGGGUGGCUUAUAAACAUUGAACAUUUAUUUCUCACAGGUGCAUGGACUGAGAAGUCCAAGAUCAUGGCACCGGCAGGUUGAGUGUCUGGUGAGGGCCUGCUUCCUAGUUUGUAGAUGCCAUUUUGCUAUAACCUCAUGUGGCAGGCAAGAGCUUUCUCUGGCCUCUUUUAUAAGGGCAUUUAUCCCAUUCAUGAGGGCUCCACUUACAUGAUCUGAGAGGUCCCAAGUCAGAGGUGAUCUGGCCCCACCUCCUAGGACCAUCACAUUGGGGGAUAGGUUUUAACAUUAAUUUUGGGGGCAUACAAACAGUCUCUAAAAACUUGAGAUUUUUUGAUUUAGGCGUUUCUAAAUUAAAGGACUGGAACAUCAUUUAUGAUUUUCUGAUGUGUGUUUACUUUUAUUCUUACAAAAAUUUACUGGCCACAAUAACUGCCUGUAGAGUAAGUAGGGCAUAGAUGCUAGAAGGGUGCUUAUGCCUUUCUUUGCUGCAGACCCCAGAAGUGGGGAUGGCUUAGCCGAGGUUCCUUACCCUCCACAGCAAAUGGGUCCAGAGGUCUAAAGGAUAAAAUAAUGUGUUGGGACUGAAAUUUAUCUUUGAAAAAGCAAACAGAAAAGACCUUUUCAUUGUAUUUUUGUUCUAAUUCUGAAAGAAAUUUAAGUUCAUUGUAGACAAUAUGGAGAGUACAGUUUAAAAAGAAGCUAACCUUCCAGAAUCCCCGAACAAGAAAAUACAACCAUCGGGCGCCUGCAUGGAUCAUCAGAUGGUUAUACAUCUACCUUUGGCUCAGAGAACACAAGCAGUGGGGAGUGGUGGCAGAGGGAGAGGAAAAAGCAGGCUCCCUGCUCUGCAGGGCUUGAUCCUAGAUAUCCCCGUCUCCAGGAGAAAUUGACACAAGACCUGGUGUGGAUGCUGAGAUCCUGGCCAUAAUGUCUGAUGCAAUGAUUGGAUGAGACUUUGGGGAUGCCUUUGGGAGGACACUGAGUAUAUUUUAUGGGCAGCCAGGAAGGAAAUGAGUAUUUAUGAUCCAGUGAGCAGACUGUGGUAGAUUGGAUUACUGUUUCCAAGUCUUCACAUACUUUGUCAUCUGACUUUACAGUACCUCCUCUCAGAGUGGGCGGAGUACAUUUUUCCACCAACACUGAGUGUGGGGUGUGACUGUGGUCCAUGGGUUUUGAGUGGACAGGAUAUAUGCCACUUCUGAGCAGUGGUUUUAAGAGCCCUCGCAAUAAGUCAGCCAUUGCUCUUGAUCUCUGCCACGAGUUUGAGAUGUGGUUGCUCCUUCAGCUUGGGCCCUGGAAUAGUGUAGACACAUCAACCAGUCAUGUAACAUGAGUGAGAAACAAAUAGUUAUGUUGUAAGCCACUGAGAUUUGGGGAUCAUUUGUUAUUGUAGCACAGCUUAGUGAAAGCUGACUAGUAUGUCAUGAAGGGGAAAAAAAAAAAAAAGCAAAGCAAGCUGCAGGAUAAUAUGUUUAGUUUUUAGAGGCUCAAAUAUAUUUCUUGGUGUAAAUUUCUUCAGGUUUAUCCUGUUUGGGGUUUUCCCAGCUUCAGUCAACAGGUUUGUCUUUUGCCCAUUUUGGGAAGUUUUUAGCCAUUAUUUCUUUGAGUUUCUUUUCAGCCAUACCGUCUUUCUUCCUCUCCUUCUGGAACUCCGUGACACAAUGUUAGAUCUUUUAUUAGAGUCCCAUAAGUCCCUGGGAUCUGUUCAUUUCUUUUUUCAGCCUGUUUUCUCUCUCUUACUCAGACUGAGUAAUUUCUAUUGUUCUAUCUCAAGUUCAUUGACUCUUUCUUGUGUCUUCUCCAUUCUGCUGUUGAACCCAUCCAUUGAGUUUUCAAUUUCAGCUGUUGUAUUUUUCAGUUCUAAAAUUCCCAAUUUGGGUCUUUAUAUCUUCUAUUUCUUUCCUGAGAUUUUCUGGUUCCUUGCUGAGAUUUUGUUUUCUUACCCAUUUCAAGCAUGUUUGUAAUUCCUCAUUGAAGCAAUUCCUCCUCUGUUUUCAGAUCUUUGUCAGGUAAUUCUAACCUCUCUGUCAUUGUGAUGCUAACGUUAUCUUUUUUCCUCACUUUGAGAUUUUCUUGGUUCUUAGUAUGUCUAGUGAUUUUCAGUAGAAGCCUGGACAUUUGGGAUAAUAUGUUAUGAAACUCUGGAACUUACAUAAACCUGUGUAGCUGGUCUCCUCUGAGACUGCUUGGGCAGGGGAAGAGGUGGGGCAGUGCCAGGUGGGGAUAGAAGUCCAGAUUCUCUUAUUUUGCCUUCACUGACACCCAGGGUGGGGAGGGUCUCCUCAUUACUACUGGGAAAGGGUAUAGAAUUACAGAUCCCUACUGAUACCACCUGGGCUAGGAAGGGUAUGAGGGCCUCUUUACUCUUCCCCAUGUGACCCCCACUGACAUCCAGGAGGAGUGAUGGGAAGAGUGACCUCUUUACCUUUGGGUAGUAGUGAAAGUCCAUGUCUCUCCACUUAACACACCACCCCCCACUCCUGCCCCAGCAGGGAGAGGGAGGGGACUUAUUUGCUGCCAGCAGGAGAGGAAGUUCAGGCUUCUCCACUGACAUGGGGAUGAGGUGGGUUGGGGAAGGCCCCUUGCUAUCCACCAGGGAUGGAAGUCCUUGCUGCCUGUUCAGUCUUCUCCAACAGCACCCUGGAAUGAGUUUGGGGUGCCUCCUUACAGCCUGGCAAUGUUAGAGGUCAAGUUCGCCACUGGACCUUUGCUGGCAGAUGAGGGUAGGGCUGUAUGUUUUCUGUGCUGUGUGGGUAGAGUACAGUGGCAGUUAUCUAAAAGCUGUCUUGCCAGGCUGUUCCUUUCCUAGUCUUCUCUUCAGAGAAAGCAUUGAGCAUUGACAGGCAGCCAGUUCCUUCAUCCCCAGGUCUGCCUACGUGCAUGAGGCAGAGAAACCGUCAGGAACUCAGAGCAUGCCAUUCCACAUGCCCCAAGUCCCCCAGAGAAUCUGUGGUGUUCCCUCCACCUUCAGAGUCUUCUCAUGUUUGUCUUCUAUGUAAUGUCCAGGGUUUGUAGUUGUACUUAGUAGGAGGGACAGGGAGGAGUGCAUCUAUCCGUGCUCCUGGAAGUGGAAGUCUCCUACACAAUGUAAUUUUAUUCAUGUAGCUGUUAUGUAUUAUUUACUUGAUUUAAAGAAUCCUGUGCAAUGUUACAGAUGCACAUACUUUUAAUAAAUAUAUAUAUUUAUAUAUGAA